ACAGCAGCAGCCGCGGUAAUACGGAGGGGGCUAGCGUUGUUCGGAAUUACUGGGCGUAAAGCGCACGUAGGCGGCUUGGUAAGUUAGAGGUGAAAGCCCGGAGCUCAACUCCGGAAUUGCCUUUAAGACUGCCGAGCUAGUAGGUGAGAGAGGUAAGUGGAAUUCCGAGUGUAGAGGUGAAAUUCGUAGAUAUUCGGAAGAACACCAGUGGCGAAGGCGGCUUACUGGCUCAUUCUAGACGCUGAGGUGCGAAAGCGUGGGGAGCAAACAGGAUUAGAUACCCGAGUAGUCCCUGUCUCUUAUAC
rnacentral:rRNA from 1 species